GAUGAACGCUGGCGGCGUGCUUAACACAUGCAAGUCGAACGGAAAGGCCCUGCUUUUGUUCGGUGCUCGAGUGGCGAACGGGUGAGUAACACGUGAGUAACCUGCCCUUGACUUUGUGAUAACUUUUGGAAACUGGGGCUAAUACCGGAUAUGAGAUCCUGCUGCAUGGUGUUGGUUGGAGAGUUUCGGCGGUUGGGGAUGGACUCGCGGCUUAUCCGCUUGUUGGUCGGGUAGUGGCGUACAAAGGCUUUGACGGCUAGCCGGCCUGAGAGGGUUACCGGCCACAUUGGGACUGAGAUACGGCCCAGACUCCUACGGGAGGCAGCAGUGGGAAAUAUUGCAGAAUGGGCGGGCGCCAGAUGCAGAAGCGCCGCGUGCGGGAUGACGGCUUUCGGGUUGUAAACCGCUUUCGCAUGUGACGAAGCGUGAGUGACGGUAACGGGUAAAGAAGCACCGGCUAACUACGUG
rnacentral:rRNA from 1 species